CAAGGACAAGGUCCGUCCGCGUUGCUUAAGGACAUAUUUUUGGGGUAAAUAAUCGUGUUUUGGCGGUCUCGCCGGUGACAGGCAGGAUGGAGGAUACUCAUCAACUGCCUCCUCAAAUGCGCGGGCUUUUUUUUUUUCUUUUUCUUUUUUAAUUCCCCCAAAAAUGGUAGAGGAGGAGAAAACAUGGCGGCCGUUGAGAUGAGCGGAAGCUGCUACGGGCCAGCAAUGUGGAUCACGAACUCAUUCGCGUCGAUGUGACACAAAUAUUUUGAGUUCCCUGAGGCCCAUUGUACGUUGGGAUGAAAGCUGGGAUCAAAAGUAAAGGAACAGUGAAGUGAAGACCACCGACCAUCAAGGGCGGAGGCAAGGCAGACCACACAACGCAGGAGGCCUGGGGAAAUCAUUAACUACACACAAACUCAAACAGUAUGACUGACUGGAUCCUACUCCACCCUCCGUAUCCCUGAGACCGACACCCCCCCGUCG